rnacentral:rRNA from 1 species
UACGUAGGAUGCAAGCGUUGUCCGGAAUUAUUGGGCGUAAAGAGUUCGUAGGCGGUUGCCUAAGUCUGGUGUUAAAUACAGGAGCUCAACUCCUGCAUGGCACUGGAAACUGGGCAGCUAGAGUGUGGUAGAGGUCACGGGAAUUCCAGGUGUAGCGGUGAAAUGCGUAGAUAUCUGGAGGAACACCAGUGGCGAAAGCGCGUGACUGGGCCACAACUGACGCUGAGGAACGAAAGCCAGGGGAUCAAAAAGG